GUCUGACACAUUUUUUUCUGCAACAUCCAAUUCUCCUCUUCAGGGGGAGACAAGGGAUGAAGAGUUGAAUUGGUCGAAGUUUGAGUGGUCAAAUAAUACUGAGAUAGAGACAGCUCCGAUAGAUAUUGACUUAAGGAAUGAUAUGACUCAAGAUCCGGAACCAACUGUAGAAGCUGAACCAAACUCCACCGAACUAGAGCCCCCUUUCUCUUCAGUAUCCGCA
rnacentral:lncRNA from 1 species